rnacentral:lncRNA from 1 species
AGCAAAUUGAAGGAUUUCAUUUAGUUUUGAUUUUUCUGGAAUUUGGUAAUUGUGCAGAAACUUUCGAUGUUGGGGUUCAUCUUUGUUUAUACCAUAUUUAGGGUCUAGUAUUUAGAUCUCGUACAAAUACUCGAGAUACUUAAAUGUAAUUAUGUUAUAAAGGAAGGGGCAAAUAUGUAAUAAGUGAGAAGUCCUUAUUCUAUAAAAGGACCCCUCACCUUCACAAUUAGAGGAGGCCGAUUCCUAGGCCCUCUCACCCCCUCUCAAAGCUCUCACUCUCAGAGCUUUCUCUCCCUCAAAUAAAUACAUAAUCAGUGUGGACGUAGCCCAAACCUUGGGGUGAACCACGAUACAUCUUGUGUUAUUUACCUUUCAUGUAGAUUCACGUUCGGAUUUACGUUGUUCCAAGACCUCCAGUUUUGUGUAUCAACAUUUGACGCCGUCUGUGAGAAUCGACACAAAAAGUUAUGUCGGUUCUCUUUCAUUUUUUCUUCUCACCACCGUGAGAUCUCACCACACUCCACCGUGAAUAUGCAGAAACCAAGAACCCAAAUCUUUUCCAAAAAACCCCCCACAAACAAGCCACCAUGUUAUCUCCUCGCGUUUUCUCUCUCUAUUUUCUAUAUCCUCAGAGAGAGAUCUGAUAAAGAGUGUUUUGUGGUGUAAGGAUACAAAUCGAACGGUGCAGAUCAACCCCAACCUUCUUCACCUCUGUGUGUUUCUGAAGCACCAGAUCACGGGGCUCCGCUUUUAAAAAGCAGCAAAGCUUCGUCCGAGAAGCAGCAAAGCUUCAUCCCAGAGUCGCUGGUCGACCUAGCCGGAUUGCGGGGCAUCGAUCUCGUUCGGAUCGACACUGAGCACUCGCUGGCAGAUCAGGGGGCGUUUGAACAUGACGAAAAGGAUGAAUAGGUCAGGCCAUGGACCGGGUCUGCACUCUCGGGUCAUGGACCAGGUCAACAACGCCCGCCUAGAGAAAGCUCUGCCGGUCUGCGAGGACCUGUUUGAGGACAUGAUCGAUCAGCUCAAUGACUCGCCGACCUUCGCCAACAACACUACAAGAAACUUCAAUCUCAGCCAUCCAGUGAUCAGAUCGUGUGGCCACAAACAUAGUGGUUUUCCACUGGAAACAUCCUUGGUUUUCUUUAAAACUUAGGGCGGAUGCUUCUUGGAAAUAGCCAAAGAUUAGGAGGAACGCUUCCUGAAAAGCAAGAUUUGCCGCUUCUACUUUUGGUUCGACCUCCGUUUCAGCUUUCUGUACAGUAUCACUAGCAGCGGUAGGCUUUGGAGUUGGUUCUGCAGGUGUAGGAAGAUUCUUACUAACAGUUACUGGCAGAGAAGCUUUCCUGAUUUGGUUCAUGGUGCUCAUCGCCUCUACCUUACUAAUCUGCUACACCAUGCUCCAGAAGGUCUCUCGUAGUUUCGUUCUCGCUAUACAACAGCUGGAUACUGAGCCCCGCAACGUUGUCUGUCUAUUUUACCUGGUUCUUCGAGCUCUAGACACUGUCAAGGAUGAUACAAGCAUUGCAACGGAUGUCAAAGUCACUAUCUUGUUAGCAUUUCAUCGGCACAUAUAUGAUCCCAAUUGGUAUUUUACAUGUGGUACAGAUAAUUACAAAGUUCUCAUGGAUGAGUUCCAUCAUGUUUCAACUGCUUUUUUGGAACUCGGGGAAGGAGAGACAAGAGCCACGAUAUUUGAUGGUCUUGCUGGUGUUGUGGUGAUGAAGGCACAAUGAAGUCGGUGAAGAGAGAGAUGAGGGGAGAGAGUCAUACAGAGAGAGGUCAGUGGAAAAGAAAAAAAAGCAAAAGUAAUGACCAUGUGCUUGCGGCUUUCAUGCAGGUGGAAUCAUUCCCUUUUACAGCUGGAGUACACCAGCUUGUGUUCAAACAAAGGAAAAAGGAGGAAGCAUAUAUACCAAAGCUGCUUAUAUCAGUGCAAAUCUUGUCGACAAGGUUGAAAGAAAUAUUCUCGAGGAUGACCCAAGAAACCCAGCUGUGAUAACUGAUAAUUGCCUGCGCACUUCCUCAACCAAUACGGAAGCGUUGUCUGCCAUCUGCCAAAAAGGGAAAAGAGAAGGCAAAAGAGAAAACAAAAGCAAGGAAUAAACACCCCACCAGAAUGAUGUGAUUUACUUUUCUUGGCAGAUGUAUGAUGUGAUUUAUUUUUCUUAUCUUUCGGAGACAUCUGUAUAAACCCCAUCAGAGGGUAAUAAUAAUAAAAUAAAAUUAAAAAAAAAAAACAAAACGGCAAAGCCCAAAAUAAAUGGGCUGAAGUGUUGUGUAGAGGGCGAAGGCCCAUAAGCCCAAAAUAACACCAACCAGGCGACCAAAAGUACGUACAGUACUAAAAAAAAAAAUUAUUCGGCACCCCGCCGCUAUUACCACCAACUAGGUGAUCAAAAGUACGCCCAGUACUCCAAAAUUAUUUGGCAACCCGCCGCUAUCACCACCAACCAGGUGAUCAAAAGUACGCCCAGUACUCCAAUAUCAUUUGGCAACUAGCCAUUCAUGCCAUCAACCAGGUGAUGAAAUGUACAACUCGUACUCUAAUAUCAUUUGGCAACUAGCCAUUCAUGCCACCAACUAGGUGAUGAAAUGUACAACCCAUACUCUUCUUCAUGCCACCAAUCAGGUGAUCAAAAGUACGUCCAGUACUCCAAAUUAUACAUGAGCAUUACUCAUGUCAUUCAUACAUAAACAUUCAUGAGCUUCACUCAUGGCAAUCAUACAUAAACAUUCAUGACCAUCAUUCAUGUCGACAUUCAUGAGCAUCACUCAUGUUAACAUUCAUAAGCAUCACUCAUGUCAAUCAGCAUCAAAAGCUUCAUUUACAGAGCUCUAUCUGCAAAAAGCUUCAUUUACAAAAGCUCCAGCUUCGAAAGCUUCAUUUACAGAGCUCUAGCUUCAAAGCUUCAGUGCAGGGUAUAUAACUACCACCUCCGAACAACCGCCACUUCGGCCCAUACAUGGAUUCAAUUUGAAGUCUCCAGCCAACAAACUCUAUUGACCGAAGACUUGGGGGACUAGAUUAUGUACCAUAUAUUGGGCCUCAACUGGGCCUCAUGAAAAAUACUUGGGGGACUUAGCCCAUUAUUUAUGUAUUGAGGAGCGAGCCCUUAUUCUAUAAAAGAGACUCCUUCACCAUUAGAGAGCAUCAACCCUGGCCCGUAUUUAUGUAUUGAGGAGCGAGCCCUUAUUCUAUAAAAGGGACUCCCUCACCUUCGUUAGAAAGCAUCGCCGCCUAUUGAGCAACCGCCUCGCCGUGAGCAUCAACUCUAGCCCAUAUUUAUGUAUUGAGGAGCGAUCCCUUAUUCUAUAAAAAGGACUCCCUCACCUUCAAUGCCACAAGCCGAGCCAACCAAGGCAACAUAAGUCACGAGCCGAGCAGCCGAGCAGCAUGUGCUACUUCUAGUUGAGCAUCAUUUCAGAUUGAGCACCGCCUCAUAUCGAACAUCAGUUCAAAACAACAUCUAGUUACUUCGGCCCACACAUGGACUGAAUUUCAAGUCUCCAGCCAAAAGACUCUCUUGAUUGAAGACUUGGGGGACUACUGUUUAUACCAUAUUUAGGGCCUUGUAUUUAGAUCUCGUACAAAUACUCGAGGGACUUAAAUGUAAUUAUGUGAUAAAGGAAUGGGCAAAUAUGUAAUAAGUGAGGAGUCAUUAUUCUAUAAAAGGACCCCUCACCCUCACAAUUAGAGGAGGCCAAUUCCUAGGCCCUCUCACCCCCUCUCAAAGCUCUCACUCUCAGAGCUUUCUCUCCCUCAAAUAAAUACAUAAUCAGUGUGGAUGUAACACAAACCUUGGGGUGAACCACGAUACAUCUUGUGUUAUUUACCUUUCAUGCAGAUUCACGGUCGGAUUUACGUUGUUCCAAAACCUCCGGUUUUGUGCAUCAACAACCUUCAUUGGAUAAGAAUAUUUUGUUAUGUAUCUUCUUCUUUUUUGUCAUUAUUUUGCUCUUAGUCUGACGUUGCAUCGAACGCUUCACUAAGUUAGUCUAAUUUAGUCUCUAAAGUUAGUCCAGUCCGAGAUAGUCUGGUGCAACAAACACACCCUUAGGGGUUUGGGUGAGGCUUUAGUUUGGAAAAUAAUUCACUUUAAUAAAAGUUUGAUACAGGGGUAGAAAUUUUUUAUUUUUAUAUAAGCUUUGUUUUUAAUUUAUAAUUUGUGUAUUAAUACUGUUAUUUGCCGGUAAAGAUGAAAGACGAAACCGAGCAGUGUUUGUUUAAUUUAAAUGAUUUUUUCAUUUGUCUUUGAGAGGACGAAAUGUUGUGCUACCCAAUUGCCUAGUAGUAUUAAGAGUUUUAUGAUUAAAUUUUGAAGUUUCAGUGGAUUAAAAUUUUAAGCCUUUGCAGCAGUGAUCUCUAAACUUUCUUAUUAAUUUUUCCUUAAAGAGGAAAUUAAUUGCGUACAAGUUAAUAAAUUAUUGUCGCAAGAGAAAUGUAUGUUAAGGAGACAAAAAAAAAGGACUACCGGCGUUGCAUGUUAAUCUAGGGCUGGGAGGUGUAUUAUGCUUAAUUUUGCAUGUUGAUGUGGUGUUGGCAGUGUAUUGUGCUUUCUGAAGGGCUGGAAGAGAUGGGGUUUGGGCUAAGGUGGGCUGAAAUCUGUUAGGCGAAAUUUUGCAUACAAAACUUAGUUUUAUAACGAGCACGCUUUUGAGACGGCGUGGUAAGUUUACAUAGGGAACUGUCCACUUAUUUAAUGAAUUACGAAUGGCUAGAUGAUCUUGAAUUUGAUUGAUUAUUUGAUAUUGAACGGUACAUGAGUAUUAAUAAAAUAAUUUUAUGAUGACAAAUAUCGGUAAAAAUUCGUUAAUAAUAAGUGGCAAGACGAAAAAGCGCAUAAUUUUGUGAACAUGAGUAAAUGAUGAUUAUUUUUGGAAGUCAUUUCUUCUUCAGUCUGAAACCUUCAACAUUAUAUUUAUUAAGACAAUAAUCUAGCUCGGCUUAAUCGGAUAAACAGUCCUCGUGGUAGUAAGGUAAUCGGAAGAUGGUAUACGUGGUAAAUAUUAGGAUUUAAACCCUCGUGGGGCCGGUUCUGAGAUUUUUGAGGCCCGGGGCAAUACCAAAAAAAGUGCCCUAGUAUAACUCCAUGUCAGAAAAAAAAAAAAAAAAAAACUCAAUUGUUUUAGUGUUCAUAUUUGUUCAUGCCGAUGUAACUUUUCUUUGAUAAAACGAUAGCAGGAUGUGAGGGAUUAUGCUAAGCAACAAGAUGGGUUGGCCAUAAUUUGGUAUCUAACUUGUCAUUUAAAAAACUCAAACCUAAGACCUCUCAUUUAUAAGUGAAGAAAAAAAUAGAUUUCACAUCUAAGCCAUAACAUUACACCUUAGUUUGUAAUUAGAUAAGGGUACACAAAUAUUUUACAAGCAAAACUCAAUUAAAGUAUGAAUCAAUUUACUGUCCCUUGGAGCCUCAUAAGAAUUGUCAUAUUUUUCUCUCUCUAAUUUUUAUAUAUAAUGUAAUAAACAAUGAAUGAACCAAAAAAAUUAUUGAAAAAUCAAAUACCACAUAUAUGUUAUUAAAAAUAUAACUCAUUUUUCUUGGAUAAGAAAGAAAAGUAACCCUAAACCCUAACAUUAUAUUGAAACAGAACAUCAUUGCUAAAGAAAAAAGAAAAUUAAUGAAAAUGGCUUGAAAACUUUGAGUUUUAACGAUAAGAACAAAAUAAAGGGUAAAGUAAAUAGUAUCAUGAUUGAUUUUUUAGUGAAUAGUACCGGUAACUUUUCGUUAAAAUUCACAAAAGAAAAAGGCCCUCAUUUUGAUUUGAACUUGGGUGGCUACUAUUGAUAUUAUUAUUUGCCAAAGGGUGGUAAUUAAUUGAAAACGAAUUUGUAAAAACCAUUUUCGUCAAAGGCACAUAUAGAAAUAUAGUUACUUGUUUAAGCCAAAGUUGAAAUAAAUGCAUAAAAAAUUAGGCAGUUUUGGGUUCUCCUUUCCAUUGCAAGAAAGCAACGAAACACUACUGCAAAUGACAACUUAUGACAAAUAUCCAGUUUUAUAUUUUUAUACGCUUACUAGACAUAGCAUUAUAAUAAUAGAAAUUAAAUUUUUUUGUGCCCCCUAUUUUUUGAGGCCCCAUGCAGUCGCCCUGGCUACCGUAGGCUAGGGCUAUGUUAGAAAAUUUAGUCCAAAAACUAUUUUCCGUUAAAGGUCCAUUAAAUACAAGGAUAAAAACGUACUUUGAUGUUGUUGGAAAUGAAGCCUAUCAUAUGAUGAUAUUUUACAGACGUUUCACUUGUUAAACUAAUCUAGUUUAAUAUAUAUAUAAAGGUUAAAGAUUAUUGUUUAAAGCCGUCUCAUAUAAAUAUGCUUAAACGAUAAGUCCAAGGAAUAUGUAAUUGGGAGAAUGUGAUCUAAAGAAGUUAAAUUCAUAAGAUCAUUCUCCUUCGUAUACAUACCCUAAACGUUCUUGAUCAUAUGAUUGCCAAUUCGGCAUUGACAGUCCGUUAAGAUCAGUACGUGUUAUGUCUUCUCUUAGAGAGAGUGACUGGUCUUAGGUCAUUGGUGUGACCGACACCAAGACAAGCAUGUAGGUGCUCAAUAGAGAAUGAGUCCACUGAACACGAUCAACAAAGAGUUCUCAUACUCAUGGUUGGGAUAAUGCAAAGUAGUCUUUUGACCUGAGGCAUCAUAGUUGUCUUGUGGUUAGGUCCUUGAUCUUUGACUAUGUCAAAGUCAUUCCGUCAAAGGGUGUCCAUGACAUAGUUGGGGUUAAGCCACUUAGCCACAGAGGCAAGUGAAUGCGCAAUAAGGGAACUCUAGCCUUCAAACCGUUCGAGGGAGAAUACUCUAUGAUAUGAUUAAGAAUCUCUGGCCAGAGUAUGAAUGAGAUUUAGGAAGUCGUUCCAAAUCACAUUCAAGGUAAUCAUAUAAGUAAGAGAAUCACAUUGGAUAGUAGACAUAAAUAAACUAUCAAACCAAACAAUGUGGUCAAGAGUAUUGUAUUAGAGAAAGACUGUAUUGCAUUGUAAUCCUAAACUGAAUAGGUUUUCCACUUCUGAUUAGCUUGGGUAGCCAUGAUAUACUACUAGGUGUCACUCAUAGUUUAUGGAAGCCCUAAAGGUGUAUAAUCACUAAAAGGAGAAUUGAAAGUAUGUUUCAAUUCACAAUCGAUUUGAAAAGUUCUAAUCGCCCACUGCCACGCUAAAGGGAACCUAAUGGAUCGUACACCGAGUAAGGUAGAGAUU